ensembl:lincRNA
GUAAUCGCCUUUGAGGGAUUUCAGUUUCUUUUUUCUGCACAUUUUUUCUACACAGAUUCAUCGAUGCUGGAAGAGCAUAUGAAACACCUGGGUCAGAGACAAAUGGCUUUUUUCCUCAAAGUAGAGCAGAAAACACGAGCUCCAUGUUCACAGUGGUUUCUGACUAUACGGCCAAAUAAAAGUUGCAUACAGAAGUAAGAGGGAAGCUGAUGGAUGUGAGAAAUGAAUCCAACAUUCUGCAAGAAACCCACAUGGAGAAAGAGACGGUUUGAUCUUACUAUGUGCCGAUGCCAGCAACCUAGUAUAGAAGAUAUCAAGACUGAGAGGCUAAGGCCCAGCUUGAAGAGAUUUAACAAAGUAUGUACACACCACAAGUGACAUGAUGUAGAGAGAAGAUCAUCAGUAGUUUCCAAUUAAGAAAUCUCAAAGGGUUUCAGCCAACUAGUAACCUCUAUGUGACCUGGUGGAACUACUUACUGCUUUCUGCUGAAUU